rnacentral:rRNA from 1 species
GACGUAGGGCGCAAGCGUUGUCCGGAUUUAUUGGGCGUAAAGAGCUCGUAGGCGGCUUGUUGCGUCGUCCGUGAAAACCCGCAGCUCAACUGCGGGCUUGCGGACGAUACGGGCAGGCUGGAGUUCGGUAGGGGAGACUGGAAUUCCUGGUGUAGCGGUGAAAUGCGCAGAUAUCAGGAGGAACACCGGUGGCGAAGGCGGGUCUCUGGGCCUUACCUGACGCUGAGGAGCGAAAGCGUGGGGAGCGAACAGG